rnacentral:rRNA from 1 species
GACGAACGCUGGCGGCGUGCCUAAUACAUGCAAGUCGAGCGGACUUUCAAGAAGCUUGCUUUUUGAAAGUUAGCGGCGGACGGGUGAGUAACACGUGGGCAACCUGCCUGCAAGACGGGGAUAACUCCGGGAAACCGGGGCUAAUACCGGAUAAUAUCUUCCUUCGCAUGAAGGAAGGUUGAAAGGCGGCGCAAGCUGCCGCUUGCAGAUGGGCCCGCGGCGCAUUAGCUAGUUGGUGAGGUAACGGCUCACCAAGGCGACGAUGCGUAGCCGACCUGAGAGGGUGAUCGGCCACACUGGGACUGAGACACGGCCCAGACUCCUACGGGAGGCAGCAGUAGGGAAUCUUCCGCAAUGGACGAAAGUCUGACGGAGCAACGCCGCGGGAGCGAAGAAGGGCUUCGGAUCGGAAAGCUCUGUUGUCAGGGAAGAACAAGUACCGUUCGAACAGGGCGGUACCUUGACGGUACCUGACCAGAAAGCCACGGCUAACUACGUG